rnacentral:rRNA from 1 species
GACGAACGCUGGCGGCGUGCUUAACACAUGCAAGUCGAACGGAAAGGCCCUGCUUUUGUGGGGUGCUCGAGUGGCGAACGGGUGAGUAACACGUGAGUAACCUGCCCUUGACUUUGGGAUAACUUCAGGAAACUGGGGCUAAUACCGGAUAGGAGCUCCUGCUGCAUGGUGGGGGUUGGAAAGUUUCGGCGGUUGGGGAUGGACUCGCGGCUUAUCAGCUUGUUGGUGGGGUAGUGGCUUACCAAGGCUUUGACGGGUAGCCGGCCUGAGAGGGUGACCGGCCACAUUGGGAGUGAGAGACGGCCCAGACUCCUACGGGAGGCAGCAGUGGGGAAUAUUGCACAAUGGGCGGAAGCCUGAUGCAGCAACGCCGCGUGCGGGAUGACGGCCUUCGGGUUGUAAACCGCUUUCGCCUGUGACGAAGCGUGAGUGACAGUAAUGGGUAAAGAAGCACCGGCUAACUACGU